CAUGGGGGCGAAUUGGGCCCUCUAGAUGCAUGCUCGAGCGGCCGCCAGUGUGAUGGAUAUCGUAACAAGGUUUCCGUAGGUGAACCUGCGGAAGGAUCAUUA
rnacentral:rRNA from 1 species